rnacentral:rRNA from 1 species
ACUCCUACGGGAGGCAGCAGUGGGUAAUCUUGGACAAUGGGGGCAACCCUGAUCCUGCACAGCCGCGUGAGUGAAGAAGGCCUUCGGGUUGUAAAGCUCUUUUAUCCGGUAAAAAAUCAACUGGUUACACCUGACGAAAUGACGUACCGAAGAAUA